rnacentral:lncRNA from 1 species
AACUCCUCACAAAAUCCCUAAAAUGCCCCUCCAAAUAUUUCCAUCCCAUAUCGCUCAAAUUGGGGAAAUCAAUUCCAAGUUAUCCCUAUAAGCACUCCCUCAAUUUCAUUGUUUAAGAGGUUAGAGAGGUCGGAUAGCGGGAAUCCCAAAAAGCAUGGGAUUUAGCUAUCAAAGAAGGAUUUCGGUGCUAAGGAUUCUCUAAAACUCAACUUUGAGCUUGAAUUCCUGUGCUAAGAAAUUCGAGUGACCUUUCAACAGUGGUGAUUCCGACAAUAGCUCGAGUCCCGAUUUGUUGUCCCAUAAAAGGUAAACAUCUUUCUCUUUUAGUUUUCUUUUGCCGUAAUUAUGACUUUAUUAGCAUCGUAAUGAUGUUGCUGGGGUUAUUUACUGUAGAAAGCUUCGAAGGCUAUAGGAAUUAUGUGUGAUGAAAAUUUGUAAUAGUUUCGCCUUAGUUGUUCGUUGCUGGAUUUCUGUGAUGACCUUUUCAUCCUUUACUGUUGGUUCCUGUUUAAGUGUGUCAAUUAGUAUGAAAUUCAUCUUUUACCUUGCUUUCUUUUUCACUUGAACUGAUUGAUUGUAAACAAAUUUAUAAGGUGUCGUUUUGAUUUACUGGGAUUUUUCGUACUUGUUUCUAGUCCGUUAGAACAAGUUUUCUUAAGUUCGAAAUGUCCUUCUCACAGUUAAUAUUGUUGGCAAUCACUGUUGGAUUCUACAUAAAUUAUAUUUUUGGAAAUGUCAUGAUCUCUCUUUUGUCAUCAUAAGAUUGGUUUUGCCUACUUUCAUGUUUGAUUUUGUUAUUGCUUCAAUUGGCUUGGUUUGAAAUACAUGUUUUAAUAAUAGAGUUAGCUCACACCUAGCCUCACGCUUUCUUUCUUUUCUAUUACCGCUUUACCAGAACGAAGUUAGAGUCUUGCUCAUAUUUUGAUUACGUUCACUGAUUUAAUUUGUACUUGAAGAAAUUUUUGGCUUGCUAUUCUGAUGCUUUAUUGGUAAAAUAAUGAAAUGUUCUAGUUUUAAUAUGGGUAAUUCGUCCAUAAAACCUUUCAAUCAGCUUGUAAAGUGUUUACGUGUCAUCUGUGUUUCUUCUGUCUCUUCCUAAUUCCAAACUUUGACAGUAAAUGUAUUUCAGCAAUUUGGUUGCAAAGACAUCUCGGAUAUGGUAAAUUUGUUACCAUGUUUAAAGUGUUUGCUUAAAGAGUAUAUGAUUGUUUGAGUGUAUUCUCGUCCCUUUUCUUCCUCUCUAUGUGAUGAUCUGAAGAUAUUUUGUAAAAUAAUUAACCAUAAGUAUGCACAAGAUCAUAUAACUUUCCUCGUCUGUUCCCAGUUGAUAUUAUUAUCUAAAUAAGUAUCUCAAUGAUUGGCCUGUGAAACAGUUUUCUUUAUACCCGGUUGUGUGGCUAAGAAAAAUAUUCUUUUGCUGAAAUUACAUGAUGUUUGCUUUGGUUUGGAUAGUGCUUUUGUUGCCUUUGAAAACUUAAAUGAACACUCUUCUAAGGAUGUAAGCUCCCGUCCCUUCUAUUCUAUUCAUUUCCCCAAUUUUUUGUGAUUGAAUAGAAAUUUUCUUAAUAUGCAUAGUUCAAUUUAGCUUAGAGUCGAUCAUUAUCCUUUCUUGGAGUCUAUUGUGUAGUUAUUUAAAAUGUGUAGCAAUGAUUCAUUGAAAGAAUAACUCAUUAACAGGGCUAAUGUCUUUCUCUGGAAAAUUUUGAACACAAAUAUUAUACCUCAUGUCACCCCUUUCUCCGAUUAUUUGCUUUGGUGUUCAAUUUUUCUGAGUUAAUUUAAGUUGAAUUAUUUUGAACUUUACACUAACUUCUUUUACAUUAUCUUUUGCCUUUCACGUGAAGCUGAUGAGUCCUAAGAGGACUCCAAUUUCCCUAUUGCUUUUUCGUUGGGCCAAAACCCAACUAUCUUCGAGUCAUAUUCGACGCAAAAGAGCUAAUGCGCAAGAUAGACUAAAAAUGAAGAAAGGAGGAUAGUAUACAUAUGGGAGAUCAAAUAUACAAGUAUAGGUGGCCAAGUAUACAAGUUGUAUACAUUUGAUAUACAGGAAAGUGAGCAAAGAAUAUUACUGAUAUACAAUUGAUAUACACAGUGAUAAUGGACCAAGUCCAUGAGUCCAACAUAUGGACAACUUUCAGAAAAGGAAAAAUUGCAGAAACUAACAUCCUUAAGACUAUAAUUACAAUAAAUAACAAUACUUUUUUAAAAUUACAACUUAUAGCAAAGGUAGCAAUAUUUUACACACUUCAUAGUAAUAGAAGAAUAUGUAUUUUUCAAUUGUUCAUAUGUAUUUAUGAGUAAUACAUAUAUAUUUGUAUAUGUAUUUAUAUAGCAACAUUUUACUUAAAUACAAAUACAAUUUGCAAUUUUUCAUAAUUAUGAAACUGUUGCUAUAAAAGGUAUAAUUAAGGCUACAGAGUUGCUAUUUCUGAAAUUUUUCCUUCAGAAAAUAGGCAGAUAAGAGGCCCAAACUUCAAAUUUUCUCCAUUCAUUUUUGUAAUUCAUACUUGGUUUAUGUGCUUGUAUUAAACUCUUAAAUUUGGUUAAAUCUAAAUAGGAAAAAAUUCACAUACUUAAGGCCCUAAUUAUUAGUUUUAUAGCAACAGUUUCAUAAUUACAUUUUGU